rnacentral:miRNA from 1 species
AUCCGUUGGGCAUCUUUCUUUGCC